rnacentral:rRNA from 1 species
CUACGGGGUGCUGCAGUCGAGGAACUUUUACAAUGCUCGCAAGAGUGAUAAAAUAAACCAGAGUGUUUCUCCUAGAGAAACUUUUGUCUGCUGUAAAAAUGCAGAUGAAUAAGGACUGGGCAAGACCGGUGCCAGCCGCCGCGGUAAUACCGGCGGUCCAAGUCGCAUCCACAUUUAUUGGGUCUAAAACAUUCGUAGCUUGUUUUACAAGUCCCUUGUGAAAUCUGACAUCUCAAGUGUCAGGCGCGCAAGAGAUACUGUAUUACUAGAGACCGGAAGAUGCAAAGAGUAUGAUUGAAGUAGCGGUAAUAUGUGUUAAUCUCGAUUAGACUAACAAUGGCGAAGGCACUUUGCAAGUACGGAUCUGACAGUGAGGAAUGAAGGCUAGGGGCGCAAAAGGGAUUAGAUACCCGAGUAGUC